UACGUAGGGUGCGAGCGUUGUCCGGAAUUAUUGGGCGUAAAGAGCUUGUAGGCGGUCUGUCGCGUCUGCUGUGAAAAUCCGGGGCUCAACCCCGGACUUGCAGUGGGUACGGGCAGACUAGAGUGAUGUAGGGGAGACUGGAAUUCCUGGUGUAGCGGUGAAAUGCGCAGAUAUCAGGAGGAACACCGGUGGCGAAGGCGGGGUCUCUGGGCCGUAAACUGACGCUGGAGGAGCGAAAGCGUGGGGAGCGAACAGG
rnacentral:rRNA from 1 species